CAGCGGGUUGGCGGGCGGAGGGCGGAGGCGCGGCGUGCCGCGGGAGCGCGCGCGCCUCGCCAGCUUUCAAGGGAAGAGCGCCUUUGCCGCCGUUCGCGUCAGGGCGAGUUCCGGGACGUCAGUGCGGUCUCCGCCAAUGGUUGCAAGAAAAACCCCUCGGCCCCUCGGACCAUCUUUCCUGUUUCCAAAUGCCGGGGACCAGUGUCUGUGACUGCGCCGCCCACCUGAGGGCAUGUACUGAAAAGCCCUGCGACUCCGACAUGUGGGACUCACAAGCACCUUGGACAGGCCUCAAAACGCGGCUGACAUACAGAAUUUUUACCAUUAACGACCUGAGGCAGGACUGGUGGAGGUCAGUUCAUUAGUUACUGAUCUCAAGAAACAAGUCAGGACUAUUUUCUAAUGUGCUUCUUUCAAGUUAGUGUGGAAAGAGCUGAUGCAUCUGUUGUAGCUGACGGAAUUUAAGGAACUGAAUAAUUGACAAGAUUUCCAGAAAAGCAGGGUCGCCAGAUAAUGCUACCUGUUUGCAAAUGAUUGUUACCGUAAUGCUCUAGAGAGCUAAUCCUUUCUCGGCCUAGUCAGAUGAUUUUAAAUCAUUUGAUUUUACAGAGCUUUAGUUUCAGUUUUUUAAAUGAAAAUGGGGAUGGGAUUAGGUCAUCUUCUAACACCCACGACAGCCAUAAAUUGAUAAUCUAUGGAUCCAUAUUUAAAGUUACUGAUAAAAAUAACCACAAUUGACCAGCCUCCCUUCCCUGUUAGGAAAUGCUUUAUAUUUUAAUUUAGCAACCCAUGUGACCAACCCUUUUAGAAUUGAACUGGCUCUCCCUAGGAAAGGUUAGAAAUCUAAUCAGUUAUAGUAAGUUUCUGUUAACAAAUGGGGAGUGGUCGACUUGGAGUUUGGAAAAGGGGAGCGUAAAGUCUAAAAGUUUGUUAAUUUAUCUAGCCGUUGCUCCAGGAGGACCUGUGUUAUAGUUUGGAAACAUUUACAAAGGGUAUUUUUGUGGGGCAGAAAACAGCAGUCCUUAAUGUAAUUUGGUUGAAAUAACCGUUCAAACCAGACUCCUCCUGUUGCUUUGAUUCCUUUUUCGCAAACUUUCUUAUAUUCUACGUAUCCAGGUGCUCCUGAUGGCCAGCAAUAGACUUGAGACAUUG
rnacentral:lncRNA from 1 species